rnacentral:rRNA from 1 species
UAAGACGAAGGUGGCAAGCGUUGUUCGGAAUCACUGGGCUUAAAGAGUAUGUAGGCGGCCUGUCAAGCGUCUUGUGAAAGCCCUCGGCUCAACCGAGGAAUUGCUUGGCGAACUGACUGGCUUGAGGCAGGUAGGGGCGUGUGGAACUCUUGGUGGAGCGGUGGAAUGCGUAGAUAUCAAGAGGAACGCCAGAGGCGAAAGCGAUGCGCUGGGCCUGUCCUGACGCUGAGAUACGAAAGCCAGGGGAGCGAACGGGAUUAGAUACCCCGGUAGUCCUGGCCCUAAACGAUGUCCACUAGGUUGGAGCUUCUCUGACGGACUUCCAGCCGAAGCAAAAGUAUUAAGUGGACCGCCUGGGGAGUACGGUCGCAAGGCUA